rnacentral:tmRNA from 1 species
GGGGGCGUUUUUGGAUUCGACGGGGGUAGUUCGAGCAUGGGUAGCGGGUAGUGGGGACGCGUCCGCUUCAUCAACGCUAAAGCCAAUUAAACGGCAAACAACAAAACAACUUCGCAUUAGCAGCUUAAUAACCUGUUAGCGAGCUCCUCCUCUGCAUCGCCCAUGUGCCGAGACAGGGGCCCAACUUUAGUGGGAUACGCUGUCACAUCUCCGCCUGGGGUGUGCUGAAGAAGACAAUCAGGCUGACCUUAGCGAUAGCCGGUUACGGGGCGCUUGCUAAGGUGACAUCAAAACCGUGACUACACCCGUAGACACCUAUGUGGCGUUGCCUUCGGACAGGGGUUCGACUCCCCUCGCCUCCAUUG